rnacentral:rRNA from 1 species
UGUUCCCUACGGGAGGCAGCAGUGAGGAAUAUUGGUCAAUGGGCGGGAGCCUGAACCAGCCAAGUCGCGUGAGGGAAGAAUGUCCUAAGGAUUGUAAACCUCUUUUGUCGGGGAGCAAAAAGGCUCUGCGGAGUCGUAUUGAGAGUACCCGAAGAAAAAGCAUCGGCUAACUCCGUGCCAGCAGCCGCGGUAAUACGGAGGAUGCGAGCGUUAUCCGGAUUUAUUGGGUUUAAAGGGUGCGCAGGCGGCGUGUCAAGCAAGCGGUAACAUAGCGGGGCUCAACCCCGUCGAGCCGUUUGAACUGG